rnacentral:rRNA from 1 species
UCGAGCGGAAACGAUGAUAGCUUGCUAUCAGGCGUCGAGCGGCGGACGGGUGAGUAAUACUUAGGAAUCUACCUAGUAGUGGGGGAUAGCUCGGGGAAACUCGAAUUAAUACCGCAUACGACCUACGGGAGAAAGGGGGCAACUUGUUGCUCUCGCUAUUAGAUGAGCCUAAGUCGGAUUAGCUAGAUGGUGGGGUAAAGGCCUACCAUGGCGACGAUCUGUAGCUGGUCUGAGAGGAUGAUCAGCCACACCGGGACUGAGACACGGCCCGGACUCCUACGGGAGGCAGCAGUGGGGAAUAUUGGACAAUGGGGGCAACCCUGAUCCAGCCAUGCCGCGUGUGUGAAGAAGGCCUUUUGGUUGUAAAGCACUUUAAGCAGUGAAGAAGACUCCGUGGUUAAUACCCACGGACGGUGACAUUAGCUGUAGAAUAAGCACCGGCUAACUACGUGCCAGCAGCCGCGGUAAUACGUAGGGUGCAAGCGUUAAUCGGAAUUACUGGGCGUAAAGGGUACGCAGGCGGCUAGGAAAGAAGGAUGUGAAAUCCCAGGGCUCAACCUUGGAACUGCAUUCUUAACUGCCUAGCUAGAGUAUGUCAGAGGGGGGUAGAAUUCCACGUGUAGCAGUGAAAUGCGUAGAUAUGUGGAGGAAUACCGAUGGCGAAGGCAGCCCCCUGGGAUAAU